CAAUAGCGUAUAUUAAAGUUGUUGCAGUUAAAAAGCUCGUAGUUGGAUUUCUGGUAGGAGUGACCGUUCCGAACUUGAUUGUUCGUGUAUUGUGUUUUCUCCAGCCAUCCUUGUGGAGAACUUUUCUUGCAUUAAUUUGUAGGGAUUGGGACCCGCAUCGUUUACUGUGAAAAAAUUAGUGUGUUUAAAGCAGGCAAUCGCUUGAAUACAUUAGCAUGGAAUAAUAAGAUAGGACUUUGGUACUAUUUUGUUGGUUUGCAUACCAAAUUAAUGAUCAACAGGAACAGUUUGAGGAUAUUCGUAUGAACAUGUCAGAGGUGAAAUUCUUGGAUUUUGAUCAGACGAACUACUGCGAAAGCAUUUAUCAAGGAUGUUUUCAUUAA
rnacentral:rRNA from 1 species